GACAGAGGUGCCGAGCGUUAGGCGGAAUCACUGGGCUUAAAGCGUGUGUAGGCGGACUUCUAAGUACCUUGUGAAAUCCCACGGCUCAACCGUGGAACUGCUUGGUAUACUGGUUGUCUUGAGCCACUUAGGGGCAGUCGGAACAGACGGUGGAGCGGUGAAAUGCGUAGAUAUCGUCUGGAACGCCAAAGGUGAAAACAGACUGCUGGGAGUGUGCUGACGCUGAGACGCGAAAGCGUGGGGAGCGAACAGG
rnacentral:rRNA from 1 species